rnacentral:rRNA from 1 species
GACGAACCGUGCGAACGUUAUUCGGAAUCACUGGGCUUAAAGCGCGUGUAGGCGGGGCGGAACGUCGGAUGCUGAAAGCCCCCGGCUCAACCGGGGAAGUGGCACCGAUACGACCGCCCUCGAGGGACGUAGGGGGACCUGGAACUUCCGGUGGAGCGGUGAAAUGCGUUGAGAUCGGAAGGAACGCCCGUGGCGAAAGCGAGGUCCUGGACGUCUGCUGACGCUGAGACGCGAAAGCCAGGGGAGCGAACGGG